ACGGGUAAAACAGAUCUUGGAAGAGGAACUUUUCGAUUAUUUUGCUUUCUGCUUCAUAGGAAUUUGCGAUUGCCUGGAUUACACAGUUAAAAUCCUACCUCCGCCAGUAGAACAGGUCUUACUGGACGCAACGGUCACCUUAACCUGUGUUGUGUCCAAGCUUGGCUCUGGAGUCCUGGUAACGUGGACGCGAGGAGAGGAAACUGUGAAAUCUGAGAUUGCUGACAAGCCCGGAGAUGCUGCUGACACCGUGACCAGCACAUUAGUUAUCUCGACUCAAGCCUGGCUGAGUGGAGACCAUUUCGAUUGCUCAGUGAACGAUCAGCAUCUACCAACACCUGCGAGAGAUUCCAUUCGCAAGGAGAAAGUGACUAAUCUUAUGGAGCCAUCAGUGCCCGUUCUCCGACCCACUUCAGAAGAAGUCUCCGAGCAAACGGUCGUCUCACUCACCUGUUUGGUGAGAGGUUUCUUUCCCAGAGAGGUUUUCAUCAAAUGGACCACCAACAACAAGCCGGUGAAUCCCAGUAACUACAGGAACACCAAGGUGAUGGCAGAGAAUGACAACACUUCCUUCUUCAUGUACAGCCUGUUAUCGAUCACAGUGGAGGAGUGGGCCAGCGGCGCUUCUUACUCCUGUGUGGUGGGACAUGAAGCGAUUCCAUUGAAGACCAUCAACAGAACAGUUGAUAAAUCCAGCGGUAAACCGAGUUUUGUAAACAUUUCACUGGCACUGAUGGACACCAUUAAUUCAUGUCAAUGAAAAUCUAAAGGUUAUCUUUAAUAAUUCAAUAAAAAUAAUAAAGGUU